AUUGAACGCUGGCGGCAUGCCUUACACAUGCAAGUCGAACGGCAGCAUGGAGAGCUUGCCCCCUGAUGGCGAGUGGCGACCGGGUGAGUGAAGCAUCGGAACGUACCGGGUGGUGGGGCAUAACGUAGCGAAAGUAACGUUAAUACCGCAUACGCACUGAGGUGGAAAGCAGGGGAUCGUAAGACCUAGCGCUAUCCCAGAGGCCGAUGUCAGAUUUGCUAGUUGGUAGGGUAAAGGCCUAUCAAGGCGACGAUCGGUAGCGGGUAUGAGAGGAUGAUCCGGCACACUGGGACUGAGACACAGCCCAGACUCCUACGGGAGGCAGCAGUGGGGAAUUUGGGACAAUGGGGGCAACCCUGAUCCAGCCAUGCCGCGUGAGUGAAGAAGGCCUUCGGGUUGUAAAGCUCUUUCGGCCGGGAAGAAAUCGCACAGGCUAAUACCCUGUGUGGAUGACGGUACCGGCAUAAGAAGCACCGGCUAACUACGUGCCAGCCGCCGCAGUAA
rnacentral:rRNA from 1 species